rnacentral:piRNA from 1 species
UCGCAUUGGCGCCAGGGUGACUGAGU